GACGAACGCUGGCGGCGUGCCUAAUACAUGCAAGUCGAACGCAGUGGGGACGGGUGAGUAACACGUGGGUAACCUCCCAUCAGAGGGGAUAACACUUGGCAACAGGUGCUAAACCGAUACUGAUUGAUGGUCCCGCGGUGCAUUAGCUAGUUGGUGAGGUAACGGCUCACCAAGGCUACGAUGCAUAGCCGAUCUGAGAGGGUGAUCGGCCACACUGGGACUGAGACACGGUCCAGACUCCUACGGGAGGCAGCAGUAGGGAAUCUUCGGCAAUGGACGAAAGUCUGACCGAGCAACGCCGCGUGAAUGAAGAAGGUUUUCGGAUCGUAAAGCUCUGUUGUUAGAGAAGCGGUAUCUAACCAGAAAGCAACGGCUAACUACGUGCCAGCAGCCGCGGUAAUAC
rnacentral:rRNA from 1 species